GUUCCCAUGCCGAACACAGUAGUUAAGCUUCUUAACGCCGAAAGUAGUUGGUGGGAAACUGCCUGCGAGGAUAGGAAGCUGCCGCGC
rnacentral:rRNA from 2 species